GGAGGAGGGAGCGGCGGACACCUCGUCACCCAGGGCUGCUGUGUAAACACGUGUAAUCAAUCGUCGCCGGGGCAGAUGCUUUGAGCAUGGAUUUUUAAAGAGCGGAGGUCGUUAGCGGUCAUUUGUCAACCGGGACGAGGCAUCACUGCAACUCACUGCACUCGAGAGAGAGCAGCACAGAGGCUGAGGUCCGAAAUGAAAACCCUCGAUUCUCAACGGUGCUGGAUCCGGGGUCUGGGACGUGGGAUGAGAGCCGCCUCCCCCCACUCCCCCCCCCCACUCCCCCCACAACUCUGUAAGAUUGGCCAGGCAAAAAUAAUCAACCGGGCACAUACAGGAAGAGUAAACAGCUCUAGAAUUUGGAGAUUAUAAUACUUUGAGAUAUUUAAACGAGCACUCGGAAUGUAAAAGGUAGCAAACGUUCUCGAACAAAUACAAUAAUUAUAUCGUCAUUCGUGUUUUGUGUUCUCUAAUGAAGGAUCAUUGCCCGAAACGUUA